rnacentral:rRNA from 1 species
UACGAAGGGGGCUAGCGUUGUUCGGAAUCACUGGGCGUAAAGGGCGCGUAGGCGGCCGUUCAAGUCGGGGGUGAAAGCCUGUGGCUCAACCACAGAAUGGCCUUCGAUACUGGACGGCUCGAGACCGGAAGAGGUCAGUGGAACUGCGAGUGUAGAGGUGAAAUUCGUAGAUAUUGGGAGGAACACCAGUGGCGAAGGCGGCUCACUGGACUGGUACUGACGCUGAGGCGCGAAAGCGUGGGGAGCAAACAGG